rnacentral:other from 1 species
ACUUCCCUGGAGUGUACGCCAGCCCUCUGUUUUUACCCACAUUUUUCAUUACGGAGUCUUUGUUUAUUCGUCGGAUGCCACGCCUCCGUGGCAACACGCUAGGGGACGGCAGAAGGCGGAAACGGGACACCGGCCUGCUUCACAUAGCGGGUGAAAAAAUAGAGGACAGCGGCAUUUUGGGGUCCCC